rnacentral:rRNA from 1 species
GUGUCAGCAGCCGCGGUAAUACGUAGGGGGCAAGCGUUGUCCGGAAUCAUUGGGCGUAAAGCGCGUGUAGGCGGCCAUUUAAGUCUGCUGUGAAAGUCCAGGGCUCAACCCUGGGAUGUCAGUGGAUACUGGAUGGCUCGAGUCCGGAAGAGGAGUGUGGAAUUCCUGGUGUAGCGGUGAAAUGCGCAGAUAUCAGGAGGAACACCGAUGGCGAAGGCAGCACUCUGGGACGUGACUGACGCUGAGACGCGAAAGCGUGGGGAGCAAACAGGAUUAGAUACCCUGGUAGUCCACGCCGUAAACGAUGGGUACUAGGUGUGGGAGGUGUCGACUCCUCCCGUGCCGAAGCUAACGCAUUAAGUACCCCGCCUGGGGAGUACGGCCGCAAGGCUAAA